UGAACGAUGUUCUCUUUCCCUUUAAAUUAAUAAAAGUUUUACUGACUCCAAUUGUUCUUGCUAAUUUCCUUCAGCUUGGGCAUGCAUACUAAUCUGAAAUAACAACUCAUAUGGUGUUCAAUGAACAGGGGAAAAUUUCAUAUAUUUUCCAUAAUCCCAUGUUCACAUAGCUUUUCCUACUUCAUUUCUGGGUAUUAAAUUUUCAAGAUUGACCUAAAGAAUUGGGAUCCUUUUCUGAUGUUGGACUAUUUUUCAUGUAUGAAAAAUUACAAUCUGAUCUUUUUCAAAUUUCAAAAUUUUUUUAUUGAUAUUGUUGACUCGCUGUUGAUCAAUAGGAAUUAGAAAAUUUAUGUUAGAGCUUUAUUAUUUGAAACUUAUUCCUUUUGGUUUCAUAAAAAAAGGGAUUUUAGGGUUGCAUGGGAUUUUGAAUUGUGCAUGAUGAUCUAUAGAACAGAUGGGGUUUGAUGGAACUAAUGUAACAGAGGGUUCUGAGAGGCUAGCAGAAGCUAUAGGUGAUGACUCUGAAGCUGUGACAUGUGCUACUGGGUUUAAGCCUGGAUGGUUGAUAAUUUUGUAGGUUGAUUUUCAAACCACAUGCUCAUAUCUUUUGAUUUUCAUGAUGGAAAUGAUGGACUAAAUGUAAUUUAAAGUCUUUGGUGUUAUCUUUAAUGUGAGUUACUAAAUUCAAUUGUGGAUUAGUGAAACUAAAUAAUAUGAUUCUUAUUCUGUUAAGUGGACAUUUUCAUGUGGUGGGUCUUUGUUAUUGUCAAGGAAGUUAUAAGAUAUUUUCUUUUUCAAUGCAUAUAAGCUACACUUUUGGGAGAUGUAGGGUACCAUGGAAAAGAAAGAACACUGUUAGGGGCCUGAAAACAACUUUAUGUUGCUCUUUGGGACCAUGAUUUAACUUUGUCUUGAGGUUAAAAAUGAGAUUACAUCAUACAAAGAUACAAUUGUAUACAGUAAUGAAGAUUUUCAGCCAUGAGAAGUGGAAGCAUAUAAGCAUAAACAAAUUAUUUUUGUAUUUAUUUGUAUGUAAGUUUUUGGUGUUAUAUUAUUGCAAUUUUAAUGUGGAAAUUGUUACUAUAAACCAUGAUUUA